AAUAGAUACCCCCGGUAGUCCACGCCGUAAACGAUGGAUGCUAGCUAUUGGGGGGAAUCGACCCCCUCCGAAGCGAAGCUAACGCGUUAAGCAUCCCGCCUGAGUAGUACGAGCGCAAGCUUAAAACUCAAAGGAAUUGACGGGGACCCGCACAAGCGGUGGAGCGUGUGGUUUAAUUCGAUGGUAAACGAAGAACCUUACCAAGGUUUGACAUCCCGGUAGCCGUUCUCCGAAAGGAGAAUUUCAUUUAGUUGGACCGGUGACAGGUGAUGCAUGGCCGUCGUCAGCUCGUGUCGUGAGAUGUUGGGUUAAGUCCCGCAACGAGCGCAACCCUUAUGAUUUAGUUGGAUUUUUACUAAACAGACUGCCCUGGUAACAGGGAGGAAGGAGGGGAUGAUGUCAGGUCAGUAUUUCCCUUACACCUUGGGCGACACACGCGCUACAAUGGCCGGUACAAUGGGCAGCUAAGCCGCGAGGUGGAGCAAAUCCCAUCAAAGCCGGUCCCAGUUCGGAUUGCAGGCUGAAACCCGCCUGCAUGAAGCCGGAAUCGCUAGUAACCG
rnacentral:rRNA from 1 species